UGGAGAGGCGGCUGGCAGCAUGGGAGAGAGGUGGCUCCACCGGGGUGGGCAGGAUCACUCGGCUGGGAAGGGCAGCCCGCACGGGUGAGAGGGCCACUAGAGACGCACCCAGGUCUUACCUGGAGCCUCUUGAUCUGCACCAGAGCUGCCCCUCGAACUGAGACCGGGUAUCGGGGGCCCACCAUGGCUGUAGCCUUCAGGCUGUAGACUCCUGAAAUGGGAGGUCAGGCAGCAGAGCCGUGUUCCCCGCUCUGCCCAGCACCUGGAACGGCGCUUGAAGCAGAGCGGCCACUGCACAAAUAAUAGCGGAAUGGAUGAAUGAACACAAGGAGGCAGAGGAAUCCCAGAGGUCGCUCCAACUGGGACCCCGACCCCUCAUCCAGGCCGUAGGAUCGGUGGCAGCCGGGGGCGCGCGGAGAGCGAGGCUCUCUCAAACUCUCGGCAGCCGCGCCCUGCCCCGCGUUGCCAGGUGCCCGUUGCCAUGGCGCCGGGGCGGGGCCGAGAGCCCAGGGCCCUAGCGCGCGCCGUACUCUGUGCGGUCAUGCCGUCCCCGCGUUGCCAGGGCUCCCAGCACCCGGCGGGUGGACGCGCCCCUCAGCGGAGGGCUCAGAGCGUGGCCGCGGGCACGCAGGACGCUCAGAGCAGAGGGAUGGAGGCGUCGCGGGCCGCGACACGGACUUCGCCUGGGCCUCAGCCCAGGUCCACAGCAUGGCCGCGGCGCAUCUUCCGCCACACUCUGCUGUUCUACCGGAGGAGGCGAGAGCGCCGCCACGGACUGCGCAAACCCGGCGCGGGUCGCGGAGCGGCCGGAUCCUCCACCUCCGUCCCC